GGACUCUGAAUCCAGCGAUCCGAGUU
rnacentral:piRNA from 5 species